UUGCAAAGAGCCAAGGAAAUGAAAUGUGACACGCACGUCUUGGAUGGGGAACAGAAUAACGAAUAGUCUCUGAUAUUUGAUGUUCUUUUGUAGAGAUAUAUAUUGGAACAGUGGAGAGGUUUCGGUAUAUAUUAUUGUCUUCAUCAUCACUUUAAACAUAUAUAUGCGCGUUGAAAUUCCAAAGAAUUAAGUUGCCCUCAUUGCUGUCGAACUCAUAUGAUACGAUUCACAAAAUGACACAGGGUCAAAGGGUUAAUUUCCUUUUCAACGAUUUGUAUACCAAUCCCGAUCUGAUAGAUGGCUCAUGAAUUGAUUCAACGUAACCCCACAAGGUAUAUAAGGAUCUUCAGUCAAUUUGUCAUGUAUGCUAGCUUGUCAAGUUCUCAUAGCUAGAUCGAAACUUAUUGCUACAUUGCUUACAAAUAUUUAUAUAUGGAUAUAUAUAUGCGACCGCAAAUUAAGUUUGGGAACUAAGAAAACGAAAGACAGAAGAUGAUAUGUUGAAAAAGUAAGGUAUAUUAUUCAUAAUAUUGAAGCAAACUGGAGACAAGGGUCAAAAUCCACACUUCAUUUCGGAGCAUCAAAGGAUCAUAUAAAUGUAUAUAUGGUCAGCGAGCAUUGUCCAACCAUUGACAGAAAAAGAUAUUACUUCAACUAGAAAAUGACAAUAAAUAUAAAUAUUAUUAAUUAUAUAGCCCUUGAGCCGAGCCAAGAGGCAGAAAUUAGGUCUGAGCAAAUGGCAGGUGGACAAGUGAACACAGCAGAGUGGUUAUAUAUUAACAUAAUAUAAUAUAAUAUUACAUAGAGAGACAGUCAGCAUUUGUUGGAAAUGGAGGGCAAGAAAACCCUUAUCUUGGUUAUCAUCAUCUAGACCUAUCGCAGGACAUGGGCGGCCAUACGUUGGGCCAUGCAAAAAUUCUGGAAUAUAUUCGACGACAGGAACUUUGAUCAUUGCAUUUUCAUUGCAUAUCAUGCAGAUUAUUAUGGCCAUGCUAGUAUUUGAUCUUUCUUAUUACUCCUACGUAACUAGCAUUCCGAAUAUGCAUUCACACAACCACACAAUGCUCUAUAUAUAUUAAGCACCUCGGUCUUAGCCAUCUCAUUCAACAUAUAGCUAGAGAGUAGAGAUAAGUGCUGUGAUAUAUCUAGUGUUGUUUGAAACUAACGAGAAAGGAAGGAUCGUCCUACAUGAGGAUUAAGAGCCUUUGUUUUGUAGCCAAGGAUGACUUGCCUGCAGCCUCUUCAAGUAGUCUUAGACCCUCAUUAACCGAGCAGUUUUUUCUGUAAAUAAAAUCAUUAUUGCAUCAUGAUUGAUUACCAGUAUAUAUGUAUAUAUAUUAUUUAUAUUAAUCGAGAAGGAAUCCUUGUGUGGUAUUCGGGCAGUCUCCUUGGCUAUCAAGACAGGCUCUUAUCUCUCAUGCUGGACCUCUUCUUCCACAAGUCGUACGUCUUCUUCCCCCCGGACAAGUUUAAUGAAGUAGCUCAUCGUCCAAAAAAAAGGGAGAAAUGAUAAGUGUCAUUGACCACGGACGUAUGCGUGCUCUACUGCGAGGUUGAGUAAAAGAGAGCCCUUGUAUUUCGGAGUUUGAAGAUUGAUAAAAGAUUAAUCUUUAUGCUUAUUUCGAGAGAACUAAUCUCUAUUCUCUCUCUCUCUCUCUCUCUCUCUCUCUAUAUAUAUAUAUACUGGUGAUUUCCAAAUUCUAGCAGACCAAGUUUUGUAAACGUGUAGUCAUUUCUUACUAUCAAGUGAAAGAGUAGAUUUUAUUAUC